rnacentral:rRNA from 1 species
CCUACUGGAGGCAGCAGUGAGGAAUAUUGGUCAAUGGGCGCUAGCCUGAACCAGCCAAGUAGCGUGAAGGAUGACUGCCCUAUGGGUUGUAAACUUCUUUUAUAUGGGAAUAAAGUGCAGUAUGUAUACUGCUUUGCAUGUACCUUAUGAAUAAGGAUCGGCUAACUCCGUGCCAGCAGCCGCGGUAAUACGGAGGAUCCGAGCGUUAUCCGGAUUUAUUGGGUUUAAAGGGUGCGCAGGCGGGAGAUCAAGUCAGCGGUAAAAUGUCGGGGCUCAACCCCGGCCGGCCGUUGAAACUGGUUGUCUAGAGUUGGAGAGAGGUAUGCGGAAUUCGUGGUGUAGCGGUGAAAUGCAUAGAUAUCACGAAGAACCCCGAUUGCGAAGGCAGCAUACCGGCUCCAUACUGACGCUGAGGCACGAAAGCGUGGGGAUCGAACAGGAUUAGAUACCCGGGUAGUC